GGAUGUUCCAGUUGAUCGCAUGGUCUUCUGGGAAAGCUUUCGCGGUAUGGGAUGGGGUCGCGUCCUAUCAGCUUGACGGCGGGGUAACGGCCCACCGUGGCUUCGACGGGUAGCCGGCCUGAGAGGGCGACCGGCCACAUUGGGACUGAGAUACGGCCCAGACUCCUACGGGAGGCAGCAGUGGGGAAUAUUGCACAAUGGGCGCAAGCCUGAUGCAGCGACGCCGCGUGAGGGAUGGAGGCCUUCGGGUUGUAAACCUCUUUUAUCGGGGAGCAAGCGUGAGUGAGUUUACCCGUUGAAUAAGCACCGGCUAACUACGUGCCAGCAGCCGCGGUAAUACGUAGGGUGCAAGCGUUAUCCGGAAUUAUUGGGCGUAAAGGGCUCGUAGGCGGUUCGUCGCGUCCGGUGUGAAAGUCCAUCGCUUAACGGUGGAUUCGCGCCGGGUACGG
rnacentral:rRNA from 1 species